CUGUUGAGCUUGACUCUAGUCUGGCAUUGUAAGGCGGUAUAAGAGGUGCAGAAUAGGUGUGAGAUAUUUUCGGAUAUCAAAAAUGAGAUACCACCACUCUUACUGCUGCCUUACUUAUUCG
rfam:Clunio marinus genome assembly, contig: CLTMA_scaffold_019021